rnacentral:rRNA from 1 species
CCGUAGCUAAUACCGGAUAAUAUUUUGAACCGCAUGGUUCAAAAGUGAAAGACGGUCUUGCUGUCACUUAUAGAUGGAUCCGCGCUGCAUUAGCUAGUUGGUAAGGUAACGGCUUACCAAGGCAACGAUGCAUAGCCGACCUGAGAGGGUGAUCGGCCACACUGGAACUGAGACACGGUCCAGACUCCUACGGGAGGCAGCAGUAGGGAAUCUUCCGCAAUGGGCGAAAGCCUGACGGAGCAACGCCGCGUGAGUGAUGAAGGUCUUCGGAUCGUAAAACUCUGUUAUUAGGGAAGAACAUAUGUGUAAGUAACUGUGCACAUCUUGACGGUACCUAAUCAGAAAGCCACGGCUAACUACGUGCCAGCAGCCGCGGUAAUACGUAGGUGGCAAGCGUUAUCCGGAAUUAUUGGGCGUAAAGCGCGCGUAGGCGGUUUUUUAAGUCUGAUGUGAAAGCCCACGGCUCAACCGUGGAGGGUCAUUGGAAACUGGAAAACUUGAGUGCAGAAGAGGAAAGUGGAAUUCCAUGUGUAGCGGUGAAAUGCGCAGAGAUAUGGAGGAACACCAGUGGCGAAGGCGACUUUCUGGUCUGUAACUGACGCUGAUGUGCGAAAGCGUGGGGAUCAAACAGGAUUAGAUACCCUGGUAGUCCACGCCGUAAACGAUGAGUGCUAAGUGUUAGGGGGUUUCCGCCCCUUAGUGCUGCAGCUAACGCAUUAAGCACUCCGCCUGGGGAGUACGACCGCAAGGUUGAAACUCAAAGGAAUUGACGGGGACCCGCACAAGCGGUGGAGCAUGUGGUUUAAUUCGAAGCAACGCGAAGAACCUUACCAAAUCUUGACAUCCUUUGACAACUCUAGAGAUAGAGCCUUCCCCUUCGGGGGACAAAGUGACAGGUGGUGCAUGGUUGUCGUCAGCUCGUGUCGUGAGAUGUUGGGUUAAGUCCCGCAACGAGCGCAACCCUUAAGCUUAGUUGCCAUCAUUAAGUUGGGCACUCUAAGUUGACUGCCGGUGACAAACCGGAGGAAGGUGGGGAUGACGUCAAAUCAUCAUGCCCCUUAUGAUUUGGGCUACACACGUGCUACAAUGGACAAUACAAAGGGCAGCGAAACCGCGAGGUCAAGCAAAUCCCAUAAAGUUGUUCUCAGUUCGGAUUGUAGUCUGCAACUCGACUACAUGAAGCUGGAAUCGCUAGUAAUCGUAGAUCAGCAUGCUACGGUGAAUACGUUCCCGGGUCUUGUACACACCGCCCGUCACACCACGAGAGUUUGUAACACCCGAAGCCGGUGGAGUAACCUUUUAGGAGCUAGCCGUCGAAGGUGGGACAAAUGAUUGGGGUGAAGUCGUAACAAGGUAGCCGUAUCGGAAGGUGCGGCUGGAUCACCUCCUUU